AUGAACGCUGGCGGCGUGCCUAAUACAUGCCAGUCGAGCGAACAGACGAGGAGCUUGCUCCUCUGACGUUAGCGGCGGACGGGUGAGUAACACGUGGAUAACCUACCUAUAAGACUGGGAUAACUUCGGGAAACCGGAGCUAAUACCGGAUAAUAUAUUGAACCGCAUGGUUCAAUAGUGAAAGACGGUUUUGCUGUCACUUAUAGAUGGAUCCGCGCCGCAUUAGCUAGUUGGUGAGGUAACGGCUUACCAAGGCAACGAUGCGUAGCCGACCUGAGAGGGUGAUCGGCCACACUGGAACUGAGACACGGUCCAGACUCCUACGGGAGGCAGCAGUAGGGAAUCUUCCGCAAUGGGCGAAAGCUUGACGGAGCAACGCCGCGUGAGUGAUGAAGGUCUUCGGAUCGUAAAACUCUGUUAUUAGGGAAGAACAAAUGUGUAAGUAACUAUGCACGUCUUGACGGUACCUAAUCAGAAAGCCACGGCUAACUACGUG
rnacentral:rRNA from 1 species